AUUGAACGCUGGCGGCAGGCCUAACACAUGCAAGUCGAGCGGAUGAAGGGAGCUUGCUCCUGGAUUCAGCGGCGGACGGGUGAGUAAUGCCUAGGAAUCUGCCUGGUAGUGGGGGAUAACGUCCGGAAACGGGCGCUAAUACCGCAUACGUCCUGAGGGAGAAAGUGGGGGAUCUUCGGACCUCACGCUAUCAGAUGAGCCUAGGUCGGAUUAGCUAGUUGGUGGGGUAAAGGCCUACCAAGGCGACGAUCCGUAACUGGUCUGAGAGGAUGAUCAGUCACGUGGGAAGAGGGGCAGGACAGGUAUCGAUAGGGGAGGGAGGAGGGGGAAAUACGAGAGAGGGGGGGAGAGUCUGAGCCGGACAUGCCGCGGUUGAGAAGAAGUUCUUGUGAUUGAAAAGAUCUUUAGGGGGGGAGGAAGGGAAGUAAGUUAUUACCUGGCUGUUUUGACUUUACCAAAAGAAGAAGCACCGGCAAGCUUCGUGCAAGCGGCCGGUUAAUAAUCGGAGGAACACACGUCUGACC
rnacentral:rRNA from 1 species